UGAGUAUUUGCUCGAGGUCGGUAGUUCCCCCACUUCACUGCUGACACGCACAACAAGCUAUAUAAGACCAGGUACAGCAAAACACGCCGCUUUCCUGUCGAGAAUGGAUGGAUAAGUAGGAGUGCGAUGCGUGGAAAGCCGCAGCAAACAUUACAUGAAGUGAGAUGACAUGCCAUGUUCACAUCACCACCUACACAUCUCUAUCAACCCCAGGAUGUGUUAAUGUUCAAUGCAAAAUUUUAAAAUUUUGCCAGCAUCAGACUUCAGUAUUAAGGUCAUGAAUGACAUGUGCCAAGUAGUCACGUGCUAUUGCAAAUAUCAUCUUUGCAGUUCAUCUUGGUAACAAAGACUGAAUCAACUGUUUUCUCCAGGAAUACUGGUUUGAGAUGGUGGGCUCCAGUAGAAAAUAAAAAAAAUUUGUCAAAUCAAAAUUAUAUUUCACCAUGUUUGAUGUAUAAACAUAUGAAACAGUGUUGAGUGUGCAUACUAGGGGAGAGCUCUUGUGCUAUUGACUCUCUUAGGGUAGCACCCCAACCCGAUAAAUGUAUUUAAGAAAACUAUAAGCUAUAAAAAUAUAUGCUAUAUCUAUUUGUAGAUGUGUUGUACAUAAAUUGUGCUGUGAAAGAACUGUGACUAAGAAGGAAACUGUGUGAAUAAAAGAACUGUGUAAGAAGACUAAUAUGUGAAGAAAGAACUGUGCCUCUCUUAAAGCUGAAUGUGAGAAAUUUGUUACAUAAUGAACUAUAUGCCCUCUUGCUUCUUAAGUGGGGGAAGGGGCCAGUCAGAUGAGUCACACAGCAGAGAUCUUAGUGUGAACCAUCUGCACCUGUUAUGAGGCGGGGACAACUGUCCCAACUUCCUGCAGUACAGUUCUUAAUGUAAAAACAUAACAACAAAGGAAUUCACAGUUCUCACUUACGAUAAUUAUUUUAUUGUUCUCCUACUCCUACUCCCACUCCCAAUCCCACUCCCACUCCUUACCUCCCUUUCUGCCAGUCAACUGGACUGCAGUGGGUGAGGAUGCUAUCUUAAGUAGACUUUACACAGCACAUGUAGCACUCUCCUUGCUUGGGGAAGUUCCUCACAAUAACCCCCAUUGUAUCUUUAUUUUGUCAAAUCGUGAUAACACAGUGUGCCUGGAAAACAGUUGUAUAUAUUUGUGUGUUUCAAAUUUUCUGUGUAUAAAUACAGAAGAUGAAAUGUAAAGUGAACAUAUUGGUAAAAAGAAAUUUUAAUAAUUGAAAUAGUCUUAACUUGUAGCUGGGCAAUAUCUUUCACUUCAUGUAAUGUUUGUUGUAGUAAUAAAAUACAUGGGGUUUCAAAAUGGAA